UACAGGAGGGUGCAAGCGUUAAUCGGAAUUACUGGGCGUAAAGCGUGCGUAGACGGUUAUGUAAGUCAGAUGUGAAAGCCCCGGGCUCAACCUGGGAAUUGCAUUUGAGACUGCAUAGCUAGGGUGCGGAAGAGGGAAGCGGAAUUUCCGGUGUAGCGGUGAAAUGCGUAGAUAUCGGAAGGAACACCAGUGGCGAAAGCGGCUUCCUGGUCCAGCACCGACGUCAGGCACGAAAGCGUGGGGAGCAAACAGG
rnacentral:rRNA from 1 species